CAGUGACAGCUUGCCGUUAAACACUUAAGAGAUAAUAAAGUUGACUUACCUUCAUAAAAUAGCGUUAACAUGAAUAUAUCAUUGGUAUUCAUCUUCAUUUUGAUUUCAACGUUGUCGUUAAUGACUCCAGAAGCGGAAGGUCGUUCUACUAACUGUACCCGAAACAGGCCGAAUACCGAUAGUUUUAAGUGCGUCAGCAAAGAUCUGCUUGACAAGAUGGACAGACUUAAUUCACUGAUAAACAGAACAAUACAAUGCAAGGAUGACAUCCUUUCGGCGUAAAGAAAUUAACGGAAUCGACCCCAAACAACUCUUGUCCAUAAUGAGGAACAUCACUUUGUCGUACAUAUGUAACAACACUGCCUUCUAUUCUUUUGCUCUAUCCUGAUACUUGAAACCAUGACAGUUUAUAUGUCCGCACACAUAUAUUCAAUUGAAAUGAAAGUUUGAACCUUGUAACAUGUUUUGCAUAUGUGGGUAACCAUAUACAAUAGCCUGAAUGAGGCAAUAGUUGUAUCAACACGGUUGCAUUUCACAGCUAACUUAAAUGCAUGCAGUAUUUCACCAAUAUUACGUUACAUAGGCCUUGCAGUACCCGACUUUGAUACAACAUUACACGUGACAUGAACAUGUUUUUGAUCUCAGCUGAUGGUGUUCGUCAGUACUUUACUGAUAACAUCCGAUCUUCUAGUUCUCUAUAUUAUGUUUGUUGAUUAUGCAUUUGUACUUCAGUUUGCGUAAACCUAAGAUGCAUGGUUUCUCUGUAAAUAUAAUUUUUGUUCUAUUGUUUGCAUUUUCAGAUAAAAAUUUACCUUGA